GGGAGGAGACAAUUUUUGGUCGUCUAUUUCUUGGAUGAUCCUUCUGAAGGUUUUAGUUUUGUUUAGAUUUGGGGUAAAAUUUUGAAAAUGGAAAUGGUUUAGCCUUUCGAAUGACUAGGAGGUGCAAACUAUUCUGCAACACCUUUUGGUUCAGACAAAGGCUUACAUCAAUUGAUCGGAUAUAAAAUUCCAUUACGGAAUCCGUUUGAGGGAGUCGAACGUUUUCUUCUUUGUUCCUCUUCCGGAUAGCUUCGGACAUUUCUCUUUUCCCCCACUUCUUUUGUUUUUUUCAGUCUUUUUAGCUCUUUUGAUAAGGAAUUUGAUCUGGGUUUUGUGUGCUUUUCGAAUCUAAUCUAUCUGAAUUGCAUGUUCUUUCUUUUUAGUGAAUCAAGGAUGGAUUUUGAUGCUGUAGAUUAGUGUAAAUGAUCUUCUGCGGAUGGUUUUUGGCCUAGGGUUUUGAUGUUCUUUGUCAAUCUGAUUGUGAAAUGUGGGAGUUGAUUACGUAAAUGGCUUGCAUUAUGUGAUGUUCAAGGCAGUGCAUUUUUGUCAAUAAUACAAUCGGCGACGCUACGGUUUAUUGUCAAGUUGUCAUGCCAUUAUUUGAUAUUUUGUGCCUGGUUCAAAUCCCACAAUGGAGCUUUCACUUUCUGAAGUGGCGAUUUUAAUCAGUGGAAGAAUAUCGUCAGCUGGGUUGAUCACCUGAUAAAUCAUACCAAGCUAGCUGAGCAAAGGAAUAAACCAAGCAUCAUCAUAUACUUGCUCGUGUAAGCCAUAUCUCCAAGUCCCUUGUUGCUUUGAAAGGUGGAAAUUGCACUUUGUAAUGACUCUCGGUAUGAUAUUGCUCACUUUGAACAUAAACUUUAAUGGCUUUGCUUUUGGUU